rnacentral:rRNA from 1 species
GGAGUUUGGUCCGUGUCUCAGUACCAGUGUGGGGGAUAAGCCUCUCAGCUCCCCUAGACAUCGUCGGCUUGGUGGGCCGUUGCCCCGCCAACUACCUAAUGUCACGCAUGCCCAUCCACUACCACCGAAGCUUUAGUUACAGAACCAUGCGGUUCCGCGACACCAUGGGAUAUUAGUGGAAGUUUCCCUCCGUUAUCCCCCUGUAGUGGGUAGGUUGCAUACGCGUUACGCACCCGUGCGCCGGUCGCCAUCUAUCAAAGCAAGCUUCGAUAAUGCUGCCCCUCGACUUGCAUGUGUUAAGCCUGUAGCUAGCGUUCAUC